GAUGAACGCUGGCGGCGUGCUUAACACAUGCAAGUCGAACGGUGAAAGAGAGCUUGCUCUCUGGAUCAGUGGCGAACGGGUGAGUAACACGUGAGCAAUCUGCCCCUGACUCUGGGAUAAGCGCUGGAAACGGCGUCUAAUACCGGAUACGAGCUGCGAAGGCAUCUUCAGCAGCUGGAAAGAACUUCGGUCAGGGAUGAGCUCGCGGCCUAUCAGCUAGUUGGUGAGGUAACGGCUCACCAAGGCGUCGACGGGUAGCCGGCCUGAGAGGGUGACCGGCCACACUGGGACUGGGACACGGCCCAGACUCCUACGGGAGGCAGCAGUGGGGAAUAUUGCACAAUGGGCGCAAGCCUGAUGCAGCAACGCCGCGUGAGGGACGACGGCCUUCGGGUUGUAAACCUCUUUUAGCAAGGAAGAAGCGAAAGUGACGGUACUUGCAGAAAAAGCGCCGGCUAACUACGUGCCAGCAGCCGCGGUAACAC
rnacentral:rRNA from 1 species